UUUCCGUAGGUGAACCUGCGGAAGGAUCAUUAAUGAGUUGUCGUGGGCUUGGAUGCUGGCAGCCAGUUUUUGGAUGCAUGUGCUUGCCCUAACAAUCAUCUUCUUCCAAACACCUGUGCACAUUUUUGAGGGAGUCUUGAGUUGGUUGCCGCUCUUGGGUGAUUUUCUCACAUUCCCUUAAAUCAGUAUACCCUAUUAACAAUGUUGAACGCGCUCUGUGCCGCAAGGCCAUUAAUAUAAUACAACUUUUAACAACGGAUCUCUUGGCUCUG
rnacentral:misc_RNA from 1 species